CUACGGAGGGUGCAAGCGUUAUCUGGAUUCACUGGGUUUAAAGGGUGCGUAGGCGGGCAGGUAAGUCAGUGGUGAAAUCCUGGAGCUUAACUCCAGAACUGCCAUUGAUACUAUCUGUCUUGAAUAUUGUGGAGGUAAGCGGAAUAUGUCAUGUAGCGGUGAAAUGCUUAGAUAUGACAUAGAACACCUAUUGCGAAGGCAGCUUACUAAGCAUAUAUUGACGCUGAGGCACGAAAGCGUGGGGAUCAAACAGGAUUAGAAACCCCAGUAGUCC
rnacentral:rRNA from 1 species